rnacentral:tRNA from 1 species
GUUCUUGUAGUUAAAUUUUUAUAACGGUGGUUUUUCAGGCCGCGGAUCUCGGAGAAAGGCCGAGCAAGAAUU